rnacentral:rRNA from 1 species
UACGUAGGGGGCAAGCGUUGUCCGGAAUCAUUGGGCGUAAAGAGCGUGUAGGCGGCUCGCAAAGUCUGGUGUGAAAACUUGAGGCUCAACCUCAAGCUGUCACUGGAUACUGGCGGGCUUGAGUCCGGAAGAGGAGAGUGGAAUUCCUGGUGUAGCGGUGGAAUGCGCAGAUAUCAGGAGGAACACCGAUGGCGAAGGCAGCCCCCUGGGCUAACACUGACGCUCAUGCACGAAAGCGUGGGGAGCAAACAGG